rnacentral:rRNA from 1 species
UUUGAUCCUGGCUCAGAACGAACGCUGGCGGCAUGCCUAAUACAUGCAAGUCGAACGAGAUCUUCGGAUCUAGUGGCGCACGGGUGCGUAACGCGUGGGAAUCUACCCUUGGGUUCGGAAUAACAGUUAGAAAUGACUGCUAAUACCGGAUGAUGACGUAAGUCCAAAGAUUUAUCGCCCAAGGAUGAGCCCGCGUAGGAUUAGCUUGUUGGUGAGGUAAAAGCUCACCAAGGCGACGAUCCUUAGCUGGUCUGAGAGGAUGAUCAGCCACACUGGGACUGAGACACGGCCCAGACUCCUACGGGAGGCAGCAGUAGGGAAUAUUGGACAAUGGGGGAAACCCUGAUCCAGCAAUGCCGCGUGAGCGAUGAAGGCCUUAGGGUUGUAAAGCUCUUUUACCCGAGAUGAUAAUGACAGUAUCGGGAG